ACUAACAUUCACUGAAUAAAC
rnacentral:tRNA from 1 species